CAUUGAAACACUGGUUUCCAUAUGAUCACCAGUUAAGCAAUGUUGAGCCUGAUCAGUAAUUAGAUGGGUGACCACUUGGGAAUAUCAGGUGCUGUAAG